rnacentral:rRNA from 1 species
GGGUGCGAUCAUACCAGCACUAAUGCACCGGAUCCCAUCAAAACUCCAAAGUUAAGCGUGCUUGGGCGGGAGUAGUACUAGGAUGUGUGACCUCCUGGGAAGUCCAUGUGUUGCACCUC